rnacentral:lncRNA from 1 species
AAUGCAAUACACAAGACACACACAACCACACAGACGACUCGAAUGACACAGGCGUCAUCACAAUGCAAUACACAAGACACACACAACCACGCAGACGACUCGAAUGACACAGACGUCAUCACAAUGCAAUACACAAGACACACACAACCACGCAGACAACUUGAAUGACACAGACGUCAUCACAAUGCAAUACACAGGACACACACAACCACGCAGACGACUCGAAUGACACAGACGUCAUCACAAUGCAAUACACAAGACACACACAACCACGCAGACGACUCGAAGGACACAGACAUCAUCACAAUGCAAUAAAGACACACACAACCACACAGACGACUCGAAUGACACAGACGUCAUCACAAUGCAAUACACAGGACGCACACAACCACGCAGACGACUCGAAGGACACAGACGUCAUCACAAUGCAAUACACAGGACACACACAACCACGCAGACGACUCGAAUGACAC